rnacentral:tRNA from 1 species
GGCGGCGUGGCGGAACUGGCAGACGCACCUGGCUUAGACCCAGGGGCCUUCGGGCGUGGGGGUUCAACUCCCUCCGCCGCCA